rnacentral:antisense_RNA from 1 species
AUUUAUGGCGGCUGUGCGUGGGAGGCCCUAGGGUCUGCCGGGUUUGAUUCGCCUCGGUCUGCGAACCCGCGCACAGUUGCCACCCAA